rnacentral:rRNA from 1 species
GGUGAACGCUGGCGGCGUGCUUAAGACAUGCAAGUCGAACGGCAGUCUUCGGACUGUAGUGGCGCACGGGUGAGUAACGCGUAACUGACCUACCCCAAAGUCGCGGAUAACGAUUCGAAAGAAUCGCUAAUACGUGAUGUGCUGUCAGAUUGUGUUCUGCCAGUAAAGAUUGAUUGCUUUGGGAUGGGGUUGCGUUCCAUCAGCUAGUUGGUGGGGUAAAGGCCCACCAAGGCGACGACGGAUAGCCGGCCUGAGAGGGUGGCCGGCCACAGGGGCACUGAGACACUGGUCCCACUCCUACGGGAGGCAGCAGUUAGGAAUCUUCCACGAUGGGCGAAAGCCUGAUGGAGCGACGCCGCGUGAGGGAUGAAGGUCUUCGGGUCGUAAACCUCUGGAUCAGGGACGAAAGACACUUCGGUGGGAUGACGGUACCUGAGUAAUAGCACCGGCUAACUCCGUGCCAGCAGCCGCGGUAACAC